GCCCAGUAGCCUGUCUCAAGGAGUAUGAAACAAGGACGGCGGCGGUCCGAGAUCCUCAAUGUGCGGAACUAUUCCUGGCUAUUUGACAAUCGCAUCGUCCGGUUUCUACAGUCACCAUAUCUCGCUGGGUCAAAUGGAUCAUGACGUCAGCAGGCAUUGAUACUUCCACAUACGGAGCACAUUCAGUGAGGGGUGCGAUGGCAUCAAAAGCUUUUUCAUUAGGC